CCUACGGGAGGCAGCAGUGGGGGAUAUUGCACAAUGGGGGGAGCCCUGAUGCAGCGACGCCGCGUGGGUGAAGGAGCGUUUCGGCGCGUAAAGCCCUAUCGGCAGGGAAGCAGAUGACGGUACCUGACCAAGACGCCCCGGCUAACUACGUGCCAGCAGCCGCGGGAAUUCGUAGGGGGCAAGCGGUAUCCGGAUUUACUGGGUGUAAAGGGGGCGCAGACGGCAAUGCACGCCAGGAGUGAAAGCCCGGGGCCCAACCCCGGGACUGCUCUUGGAACUGCAUGGCUGGAGUACAGGAGGGGCAGGCGGAAUUCCUAGUGUAGCGGUGAAAUGCGUAGAUAUUAGGAGGAACACCGGUGGCGAAGGCGGCCUGCUGGACUGUGACUGACGUUGAGGCCCGAAGGCGUGGGGAGCAAACAGGAUUAGAUACCCCUGUAGUC
rnacentral:rRNA from 1 species